rnacentral:rRNA from 1 species
GGUGUGACUGCGUACCUUUUGUAUAAUGGGUCAGCGACUUAUAUUCUGUAGCAAGGUUAACCGUAUAGGGGAGCCGCAGGGAAACCGAGUCUUAACUGGGCGUUAAGUUGCAGGGUAUAGACCCGAAACCCGGUGAUCUAGCCAUGGGCAGGUUGAAGGUUGGGUAACACUAACUGGAGGACCGAACCGACUAAUGUUGAAAAAUUAGCGGAUGACUUGUGGCUGGGGGUGAAAGGCCAAUCAAACCGGGAGAUAGCUGGUUCUCCCCGAAAGCUAUUUAGGUAGCGCCUCGUGAACUCAUCUUCGGGGGUAGAGCACUGUUUCGGCUAGGGGGUCAUCCCGACUUACCAACCCGAUGCAAACUACGAAUACCGAAGAAUGUUAUCACGGGAGACACACGGCGGG